rnacentral:rRNA from 1 species
AUUGAACGCUGGCGGCAUGCCUUACACAUGCAAGUCGAACGGCAGCACGGGGCAACCUGGUGGCGAGUGGCGAACGGGUGAGUAAUGCAUCGGAACGUACCUUUCAGUGGGGGAUAACGUAGCGAAAGUUACGCUAAUACCGCAUAUUCUGUGAGCAGGAAAGCAGGGGAUCGCAAGACCUUGCGCUGAUUGAGCGGCCGAUGUCAGAUUAGCUAGUUGGUGAGGUAAAGGCUCACCAAGGCGACGAUCUGUAGCGGGUCUGAGAGGAUGAUCCGCCACACUGGAACUGAGACACGGUCCAGACUCCUACGGGAGGCAGCAGUGGGGAAUUUUGGACAAUGGGGGCAACCCUGAUCCAGCCAUGCCGCGUGAGUGAAGAAGGCCUUCGGGUUGUAAAGCUCUUUCGGCCGGGAAGAAAUCGCGCGGGCUAAUACCCUGUGUGGAUGGCGGUACCGGAAUAAGAAGCACCGGCUAACUACGUGCCAGCCGCCGCUGUAAAAC